CUAACGCCCUAACCAUCAACACUUAACCCCCAACCUAGGGGUUAGUGUUUAGCAAAUAAGGUAGGGAGGAAGAUUCUUCACUAGCACCCAAUUUUCUGCUACAGUAUGAUGGACACAUAAUUUGUUUAAAAGGAAAGAAAAUAAUUAAAAUACCAAAAAGAAAACACAGGAUAUAGCGAAAAAACAACAGUUGUUAAAACACGCUUACAGUUUAAAACAUAUUUACAUUUAGUUGGAAGAAAAUAAGCGUGGUCGCUACACCUAAACAUUAGAACAUAACAACUUAAUUAAAGUUGGCUGCAAUAACAGGAAAGUCCAGACUAUAUUACUACUGACUAAACAUGCAUAUAUAUAAGCAGUCUAAUAUAUAUUUAUACUAAAAAAUAAGUUAUAAAAUCAAACAGAAAAUACAAAACUUACAAACUCCGUUUACUUGACCAAGCCCAAUUCAUUCUUUGCUAAAAACCUCACAAGUUAUUUAGAAAUACAGUAGUGAAAACAAGCAUCAUUAAAAGUACUUUGGAUGGUCCUACUUUAGAAACAUUUUAUCGCACAUUAAUUUCCGAUUUUUUAAAUUGUAUUUUUGAUAAGGUUUAUAAAUUUAAGCAAAUAUUUAUAUUUUAAAGAUGAUAUUGCAAUUUUUUUAUUUAUUUGUAUUUUUGUGUGCGAAAUCGAUUUUCGAAAUAGGGAGUUCACCGUCUCGUGUUUAUAAAGUUUUAAAACAAUUUUAAAUCAAAUUGAAUUAAUUAAAUACGAAAAUGUCCGGCGAUUCGAGUGAAAAAUUAUCGUUUGAGCAAUUCUGUGACAUCUACAAAGAAGUUCUUGCAAGUAACGGCGUCACUCCUCACUUAUUUCGUGCUCUUCACCGAAAAUUAGAACAUGAGAUAUUUGACGCUGGAGAAUAUUUCUCGUUAACAACCGACGACGAAAGUGACGGCAAUUCAAAGUUGAAAGCCGUCCUUAUUAACGAGGAUGGACUCGAGGUUUCCGAUAGCAACGGGAUAUUCUUGAUCGAUCAUGCGUGGACGUUCCAACCGAGGGAAGCAAGAAGUCAACUUUGUAAUGCACCUGGUCUUCUCCCACGCAUGGCUGAACUCAUGGGCUACUCGGUCCACGGUGAAGUCUUCAACCCCGAUGAUGAUAUCGUGAAUGAUGUGCUAACUGAAAUGUGGAAGUAUAUUCACACCUAUUCAAGCUCAGCAGGGGAAGCUGAAGAAAAAGUCCCGAUCUGGUAUUUAAUGGAUGAAUUUGGAUCUCGUAUUAGACAUUCAGAUGAACCAACCGUUAAGAUCGUUCCCUUCCAUUACCAACCAACUGGGACGACUUAUUCGUUAAUGUGGUUGACACAAGAUAUGGAAUAUGCAGAUGAGUUGACUUAUGACUUUGCGUUCGAUGAGCGCGACCCAAUACUAAGGAAAUGUAAAUUGCUGCCAUGGGUGGGAGCCGACUUUAGUGAUGUGUCAACGCAUACCAACGUGCUUCCUGAUAAAAGUUAUGACGAUCGUUUUAAGUACACGAACGAGACUCUGCCCACUGGAAACCAAAUCCCUGGAAAGAAAGAAGGAAAGUUAAAAAUCUUCACUGAAUAUCACCGCCAAUAUUUAACUGAUGUGAAAAACUUUGAAAUUGUUGAAAAUCGUGAAGAAGCCGACGUGAUUUACCCGGCGACAUCAAUUCGUGAUUAUAAAUACUUCAGCGAAGAACGACCUGAUGUACUGCUUGGGAUGUUCCCGUGCGAACAAAUUAUUUUGUGCAAAGAUUUUUUCGCUGACAUCGCUAAGCGGGCGGGGAAGGACGGAAAAUUUCCACCAUGGCACCCAGUGAGCUUCAACCUUCAUUCAGAAUUCCCUCAAUUCAUCUCAUAUUUCAAACAACGCGAGAACGAAGGGCUCGAUAUGAAUGUUUGGAUAUGUCGACCAUGGAACCUUGCAAGAGGGUUGGAGAUUCAAGUUACUAAUAAUCUUAAUGAGAUAAUUAGAUUGAGAGAAACACCAAUUCCAAAGGUUGUAUCGAAAUACAUUGAACACCCCGUGUUGUUCCAUCGUGACGACAUCAACGUAAAAGUCAAGUUCGAUUUACGAUUCAACGUUCUACUGACAUCAGUCGAACCGAUGAAACUUUAUGUUUGUAAAGUUUUCCUGCUCCGAUUUGCAAACAAGGAAUUUGCGUUGAAUAAUUUCGAUGACUACCAACAACAUUAUACGGUCAUGAAUUACGUGGAAGGCGGAACGAAGUUGAAACAAAUAAAUUACGAUCAAUUCAUCCCAAUGUUUGAGGAUCAAAACCCAGAUUUUAAAUGGGAGGAUGUAGAACGUAACAUUCACCGAUGUAUAAAAGAAUUCUUUAUCUCGGCCACAUCACGACCUGCACCAUAUGGUAUAGGGCAUAACCAACAGUCACGUGCUAUGUACGGUAUUGAUGCAAUGCUAGAGUGGAGAGAUGACCCACAGACUGUUCCUCUGCUUGCAUUGUGAGUAACAAUCAACAAUGGUUUACUCGAACAGUCAUCUGUGACGUCACAUAUUAGUCUGUGACGUAAUGCCAAACAGGAAGCAUCGGUGUGAAGCUACUUUGGCGCCCACGUCAUGCAGCCCGUGUUGCUUGAAUGCAACUUUAUGCCAGAGAACUCAAGGAGUUGUAAACAUUUCCCAAACUUUCUCAACGACGUGUUUCGGUUUCUCUUCCGCGGUGAUGACGUAGCAGAUUGCAACGUCGUUGACGUCACGGACGUAUGACGUCACGAACUUUUUUAUAAAAAAAUAAAUAAAAUAUAUUGGUGUCAAUUUUUUUAUUAAAUUUUCCGUAAGUCGAUAUGACGUAUUUUGAUGACGUUAUUAAUUUAUUGAAUGACGUCACGUAAGUAAUAAGUUCCGGGGUACAAUGUACAAUAAACAUGAACGCAUUAAA